ACCCUGUAAGCAACCAAAAGUUGCACCUUCCAUCUCUUAGACGGCCAUGUGUCACCAGGGAAGCAAGCCCUCAGGGAUCACUCUGAAGACCCUGAAGAGUGCGGCUUCUGAACUCUAUUCAGAUUUGUUUCAGCUUUAAAACUGGACUUUUCUUUUCAGACUCUUUAGUUAGGCUGGGGACAGAACUGAAUUGGUAAAGUGGUCACCUAGCGUUCAUGAAACCCUGGGCUCAGUCUCCAGCCAGAAGUAAACUGGGCAUGGGGCCACAUAUCUGAUCCUAACACUUGGGAAAUAGAGACGGGAGACUUAGAAAUUCAAGGUCAUACAUACCAAGUUCAAGACCAACCUGGGAUAUAUGAAAUAGUGUCUCAAAAAAUUUUUGUUUAGGACAAGCUUUUGGUGAAAGAAGGAAUUUAUUCCUGCCUUCCUUACACUUUGUUAAUACAUAGGAAUUUUUAUUACAUUUAUUUAUCUGUGUGUGUGUGUGUGUGUGUGUGUGUGUGUGUGUGUGUGAUGGUGAGCUUGCUACGGUAUGUAUGUGAAGAUCAGAGAACAACCUGCAGGAGUCUGUUCUCGCCUUCCACCAUGUGGGUCCUGGGAAUUGAACUCAGGUUGCCAGGCUUGGUGGUAAGCACCCUCAUCCAUUGAGCCAUCUUGCCUGCUCUAAAAGUUUCGGUCUUCAGACCAAAACUGUUACUUGAACCUAGAAAGCCACAUCGCAUCCCUGUUGUGUCCUUUAGGUCAUUUCUCUUUUCCAGAGAUGGGCAGACCAAUUCAGGACACGGGAGGCACCCUAGAGAAUAGAGGCAGGCUCCUUCAGGUCCUGCCUUUUUGCUCUUCACAGCUGUUGUGUCAUUAAAGGUUGUGUGAGCAGCAUGCUUCCAAAGUCAGAUUUCCUUCUUGAGACAGAGCCUGUUUACUUAAAACAGAUUACAUGAGCUUUGCUGUUUUCCUGGUCUUCCAAUUGCUGUCAUUGCUAGCUGCAGUGGUACUUGGAGAGAUGAGAUCUCUCACAGACCUGGUCUAGAUUAUUUUAGGUGGGGUGAUACACAUGCAAGCUUCUGAUGUGUGAAUAGGCAGUUGCAAUGAAAUUACUCCUCAGGCUGACUUGAUGGUAGCUAUCUUUUCUCUAGCCAUUCAUUAAAUAAACAUUUGU
rnacentral:lncRNA from 1 species